GACAGAGGGUGCAAACGUUGCUCGGAAUCACUGGGCGUAAAGCGCACGUAGGCGGAUUGCUAAGUCAGGGGUGAAAUCCUGGAGCUCAACUCCAGAACUGCCUUUGAUACUGGCGACCUUGAGUCCGGGAGAGGGAUGUGGAAUUCCAGGUGUAGCGGUGAAAUGCGUGGAUAUCUGGAGGAACACCGGUGGCGAAGGCGGCAUCCUGGACCGGUAUUGACGCUGAGGCGCGAAAGCCAGGGGAGCAAACGGG
rnacentral:rRNA from 1 species